AGCUAAGCAGAUAAACGUCAACGUGAACCGCGUUAUCCGUCUUACACGCCUGAAACGUCGCUAUGACCCAGGAUACUCUCCAGAACUCGGACAGAGAGAUGAAAAUACCCCAACAGAUGCGGGGGCUUCGCUCCUUAACGCUGGCUAAGCCGAACUAACGUCCAGACCUUCACCUUCACCGCCUUUUUAUACCCUGCAAACGGAUGGAGGUCCUUGCGCAGGUGACUUUAAAGCAAAGGGCGUUCCCUUCAGCAGUCAGUCCUCCCUUUUCUCCUGGGAGAAACAGUAACCCGAUAACACUGACCUGAAAUAACACAGAGAGUGAGAUUAGUUUACCUCAGAGAUGAAGUAAAUACGCAGAAGCUGGUUAGCUAACCGCUUCAGUCGAAGAUGGGUGAGGUAACCGGCACGAGGAACGGCAUAAAAACAACACGGAACUAACCCUCAGAGCAAAAUUUCACUCAGAUUCAACAUUUCUGACAAAAACGCUGAAGUAAAAAUCGAUUAUAAGUGUUAAUACUGUCAAACCCACCAAUUCCCCCGCUUGUGCUAGUUACCUCACGAAGCUGAAGCGAGCUUCUUGUUCGAAUUUUCCCGUUCCACCUUAAACGCUGCCGCAGUUACAGCAGCAGCCGCCUCAGGCGCCAGUAUGUGACUGGUGCACUAUUUAAGGUGGAACGGGGAAAUUCGAACAAGAGGCUGGUGAACAGGAAGCCGACUUCAGCCGCGCUGCUACCCAAACCGAAGCCGGCCGGUUUCUACCGCUGAUGUUCGUUUAAUUUCGAACCGUCACUCCAAAAAAGAGGUAAAAACCGAUAAUAAUUUACCUUCAAAUGUUAAUCCGUGCACCAAAAUCCGCAGAGACGGUAGUAAAGGAUGGGAAGAUUAGAUAACAGAGGGGUUUCCUAUUCAGUCCCUCCUCAGUCGAGUCCCAGCCGGUGCCAACGAACUCAUGAAUAUUCAUGAGAGAACGCAUCAGCCCACAGCCGCUUGGCGUUCCAGAGCCAAUCAGGAACGAGUCUUUUGAUUACAGCAGACGCUCAGCGACCAAUCAGGUGUGGGGAAAGUAGACUUGGCUCGGAGCCAAAGGGAGAGUUCGUGGCCAAUGGUCUUCGCCCUCGUGAGGAGACCAAGCAUCAGUCACAGCAACACAACAAUGGAUCUAUACAGAGAAUCACAACAGAAUGCAUUUCCACUGCUCCAGAGUCCAGCAUUGGCGUGAUUUACACCAAACCAUCCGAUGCUUGCCAUUGUGCAAUUUGAUCUUGGGCUUGUGUGAAGCCGCUCGGCCAUGGAAACCCAUUCCAUGAAGCUCCUAUUUGCUGAUGUUGCUUCCAGAGGCAAUUUGGAUCUCUUUAGUGAGAUAUUCAACAGAAGAUAGGCACUGCGCUUCGCUUGGUGGCUAAGCUGUUGUCGAUGCUUCCAUUUCACAAUAACAGCACUUACAGUUGUCUAGGGCAGAUCUAGCCAGACAGAUAAUUCACACAUUAUAUAGUGUGUGUGUGUGUGUGAGUAUAUGUAUCGUUGCUGUCGAAAGAAAUUUUAAAAAUGUUCCACAAAAAAUAUACUUUGACAAAUGAAACCUCAUAAAUCUAAUCAUUG
ensembl:lncRNA